GAUGAAGAACGCAGCGAAAUGCGAUAAGUAGUGUGAAUUGCAGAAUUCAGUGAAUCAUCGAAUCUUUGAACGCACAUUGCGCCCUUUGGUAUUCCAAAGGGCAUGCCUGUUCGAGCGUCAUUUGUACCCUCAAGCUUUGCUUGGUGUUGGGCGUCUUGUCUCUAGCUUUGCUGGAGACUCGCCUUAAAGUAAUUGGCAGCCGGCCUACUGGUUUCGGAGCGCAGCACAAGUCGCACUCUCUAUCAGCAAAGGUCUAGCAUCCAUUAAGCCUUUUUUUCAACUUUUGACCUCGGAUCAGGUAGGGAUACCUGCUGAACUUAAGCAUAUCAAUAAGCGGAGGA
rnacentral:misc_RNA from 1 species